UCGGCUUUGCUGUUGCGAAGUAGAGUGGCGGCUUCGGCUGCCGAGGGUCGAUCCAUUUGGGAAAUGUUGUGUACUUCGGUAUGCAUCUCAAUUGGACCUGAUAUCAGGCAAGAUUACCCGCUGAACUUAAGCAUAUUAAUAAGCGGAGGAAAAGAAACUAACAAGGAUUCCCCUAGUAACGGCGAGUGAAGCGGGAAGAGCUCAAGCUUAAAAUCUCCGUGCAAGUUUUGCGCGGCGAAUUGUAGUCUAUAGAGGCGUGAUCAGUGUGGGCGCUUGGGGCAAGUUCCUUGGAAGAGGACAGCAUGGAGGGUGAUACUCCCGUUCAUCCCUGAGUUGCUCGUGCGUACGAUCCGUUUUCUUUGAGUCGCGUUGUUUGGGAAUGCAGCGCAAAGUAGGUGGUAAAUUCCAUCUAAAGCUAAAUAUUGGUGCGAGACCGAUAGCGAACAAGUACCGUGAGGGAAAGAUGAAAAGAACUUUGAAAAGAGAGUUAAAGAGUACCUGAAACUGCUGAAAGGGAACCGAAUCGUUUCCAGUGUCUAUAAUCCGUGGUAUAUUUCAUUGGCGAGUGUGUGCGUGCGUGUGCUGUGGCAGCGGCUUUUUUGGCUGCGCUCGGCGUGUGUGCUGUGUGUGCUUGCUGGUGCCCUGUGCUGCGGUGGGACGUCAAGGUCAGUUCGUAUGCUGCGGGAAAUGGCCGCCGAGGAGGUAGGGCUUACGCUUGCGUUUGUCUGUUAUAUCUUGGUGGACGAGUAGUCGCGGUUGGGACUGAGGUGCCUACAACGUGUUUUUGAGUGGGCCUGUGUCUCUGUGUGCGCCGUGUGCGGAUAGCUUGCUAUGCGUGUGUGGUUGUGUGUGGAUUGAUGUGGGUUUUAACUUGUUGCCGUUCGGGACGUUGACGAAAUGGAGCGAUUUGACCCGUCUUGAAACACGGACCAAGGAGUCUAACAUGUGUGCAAGUGUUAGGGUGUGGAAACCCCAGCGCGAAAUGAAAGUGAAGGGCAGCGUAAGUUGUCUGAGGUAGGAAAUGCUGCGGGCUUCGGUCUGCGGUGUGGCACUAUCGACCGAUCAUGAACCUUCGUGGUGAAAGAUUUGAGUUUGAGCACAUAUGUUGGUACCCGAAAGAUGGUGAACUAUGCCCUGAGUAGGGUGAAGCCAGGGGAAACUCUGGUGGAAGCUCGUAGCGAUUCUGACGUGCAAAUCGAUCGUCAAACUUGGGUAUAGGGGCGAAAGACUAAUCGAACCAUCUAGUAGCUGGUUCCCUCCGAAAUUUCCCUCAGGAUAGCAGCAACUUAUUUACGAUAGUUUUAUGAGGUAAAGCGAAUGAUUAGAGGAUUCGGGGAAGAAACUUCCUCGACCUAUUCUCAAACUUUAAAUCUGUAAGACCUGCAGGUUUCUUAAUUGAACUUGUGGAUGUGAAUAUCAAGUUGCUAGUGGGCCAUACGGGGUAAGCUCGUCUGGCGAUGCGGGAUGAACCGAACGCAAAGUUAAAGUGCCAAAAUGCUCGCUCACCUAGAUACCAUAAAAGGUGUUGGUUCAUUUAGACAGCAGGACGGUGGCCAUGGAAGUCGGAAUCCGCUAAGGAGUGUGUAACAACUCACCUGCCGAAUGAACUAGCCCUGAAAAUGGAUGGCGCUAAAGCGGGCUACUUAUACUUUGCCGUUAGCGCGAUAGCAUUUAUAAUGUACGCGUUAAUGAGUAGGAGGGCGUGAAGGUCGUGAAGAAGCUCGUGGCGUGAGCCUGAGUGAAACGGCCUUUAGUGCAGAUCUUGGUGGUAGUAGCAAAUAUUCAAAUGCGAACUUUGAAGACUGAAGUGGAGAAAGGUUCCGUGUGAUCAGUAAUUGGACACGGGUGAGUCGAUCCUAAGAGAUAGGAUAAUUCCGUUUGAAAGCUGGGCUGUUUGAGGCGUGGGGUUCGUCCUUGCGUUUUGUAUGCAGCCUCGUGUAUCGAAAGGGAAUCAGGUUAAUAUUCCUGAACCGAGACGUGGAUAAUAUGUGGUAACACAACCGACCCAGGAGACGCUAGCGUGUGCCCAGGGAAGAGUUCUCUUUUCUUUUUAACAAGCAUAUCCUACCUUGGAAACGGAUUAUCCGGCGAUAAGGAGGAUGCCUUGGCAAAGCACUUUACUUUUUGAAGUGUCCUGCGCGCCCACGACAGCCCUUGAAAAUCCUGGCUAGAGAUUUAUUCGCACCCUCGUUC